rnacentral:tRNA from 1 species
UGGAGAGGUGGCCGAGUGGCUGAAGGCGACGGUUUGCUAAACCGUUGUAGCGCUGAAAGGCGCUACCGUGGGUUCGAAUCCCACCCUCUCCGCCC